rnacentral:rRNA from 1 species
UACGUAGGGUGCAAGCGUUAAUCGGAAUUACUGGGCGUAAAGCGUGCGCAGGCGGUUUUGUAAGUCUGUCGUGAAAGCCCCGGGCUCAACCUGGGAAUUGCGAUGGAGACUGCAAGGCUUGAAUCUGGCAGAGGGGGGUAGAAUUCCACGUGUAGCAGUGAAAUGCGUAGAGAUGUGGAGGAACACCGGUGGCGAAGGCGGCUAUCUGGCUCACAACUGACGAUCAGGCACGAAAGCGUGGGGAGCAAACAGG